rnacentral:lncRNA from 1 species
AUGGGAUCUGCUGUGGGCAGGGAAGAGCACGGUGCCAGAGGUCACUGGGAGGGAAUGAGGGGGUCAGAGCCCCCUGGUCACCCCUGGGUGCCAGCAGCACUGUCCCCUCCUGCUCCCUGCAAAGCCUGGCCAGCGAUGGAGUCAGACCCUCCCAGCUGGGAUUGCUCCACGGCAGGCAGCUCCCCCUCAUCCAUCCCUCUCAGCCCAGCAGCACGAGGGCAGAGCUCCAUGAUGAUCAGAGAUGAGGUUUUGUGGCUGUUAAUUGUUUUAUCCAGCUGCAUCAUUAGCAGAUCUGCUUUGAUGCAGCCCGAAAGCCCUGCUGCUCCUCCCUGGCACCCUGCUCCUGGAGCCUGUCCCUGCAUCCCUGCAGCUGCCCAGCCACAGGGCAGGCUCAGAGAGGCCCCCCCCCCCCCCCCCCCCCCCCCCCCCCCCCCCCCCCCCCCCCCCCCCCCCCCCCCCCCCCCCCCCCCCCCCCCCCCCCCCCCCCCCCCCCCCCCCCCCCCCCCCCCCCCCCCCCCCCCCCCCCCCCCCCCCCCCCCCCCCCCCCCCCCCCCCCCCCCCCCCCCCCCCCCCCCCCCCCCCCCCGCUCUUCCGAUCUAUCAGGGGCACUGCCCCAUGGCUGCAGCAGAUGGGACAGAAUCCACAUUGCUGGCCACAUCAACCCAACACAUUAGCCAAGGCUCUGCCCCACAGCCUCGCUCCUCCCGGCUCUGGGCCAGUGCCAGCCCCUGCAGCCAAAUCUGCUUUGUUUUCCUGGAAAGGCAGCACUUCCCAGGGAUCUUGGAGGAAAUGAUCCCCUGGAAGUGGGUGUUCCACCCCGUUCAGCAAGGUUCAGCUAGUGCAGGUAGGGGCUUCUGCCCCCUUCCCUGGGAGAGGAGUGUCCAGGCAGGAAUUCCCAGCAGGAAUCCUUGGCAGGGCUGGUGCCAUGAGCAGGAGGUUCCUGCAGUCCUUGCAGGAGCUGCAGCUUGUGGCAGUGACAUUCCAUCUGCAGGCCCUGGCAGCACCCCCAGGGGUCCCAGGCCAGGGGGGUGGGUGUUCCAUGUUUUGGGAGUGGGCUCCAACACCCCUCUGAGCUGUUCACAGCUGGGGCUGAGCUGUUCACAGCUGGGGCUGAGCUGUUCUCCACAGCUGGGGCUGAGCUGUUCACAGCUGGGGCUGAGCUGUUCUCCACAGCUGGGGCUGAGCUGUUCACAGCUGGGGCUGAGCUGUUCUCCACAGCUGGGGCUGAGCUGUUCACAGCUGGGGCUGAGCUGUUCUCCACAGCUGGGGCUGAGCUGUUCACAGCUGGGGCUGAGCUGUUCUCCACAGCUGGGGCUGAGCUGUUCACAGCUGGGGCUGAGCUGUUCUCCACAGCUGGGGCUGAGCUGUUCACAGCUGGGGCUGAGCUGUUCUCCACAGCUGGGGCUGAGCUGUUCACAGCUGGGGCUGAGCUGUUCUCCACAGCUGGGGCUGAGCUGUUCACAGCUGGGGCUGAGCUGUUCUCCACAGCUGGGGCUGAGCUGUUCACAGCUGGGGCUGAGCUGUUCUCCACAGCUGGGGCUGAGCUGUUCACAGCUGGGGCUGAGCUGUUCUCCACAGCUGGGGCUGAGCUGUUCACAGCUGGGGCUGAGCUGUUCUCCACAGCUGGGGCUGAGCUGUUCACAGCUGGGGCUGAGCUGUUCUCCACAGCUGGGGCUGAGCUGUUCACAGCUGGGGCUGAGCUGUUCUCCACAGCUGGGGCUGAGCUGUUCACAGCUGGGGCUGAGCUGUUCUCCACAGCUGGGGCUGAGCUGUUCACAGCUGGGGCUGAGCUGUUCUCCACAGCUGGGGCUGAGCUGUUCACAGCUGGGGCUGAGCUGUUCUCCACAGCUGGGGCUGAGCUGUUCACAGCUGGGGCUGAGCUGUUCUCCACAGCUGGGGCUGAGCUGUUCACAGCUGGGGCUGAGCUGUUCUCCACAGCUGGGGCUGAGCUGUUCUGCACAGCUGGGCUCCCCCAGUAGAUCCAUGGCUGAAUCCCUGGGGUCUCCUGGUUCCCUUUUCCUGUGUUCCUGUGGAGCUGCUGAACCAGGGCCCGACUAUUCCAUGGGUUUUGCUGAAGGAAUGCACUUGUCCCAGUAUGAGCAGAAUGUUCUGGGCCUGUCUGACCUCCAGCCAGGACUCCAGCCUGUGCCAUGGCUCCAGGAGAGCAGUGAGCAGUGCCUUCCUCAGGGGCCAGGACUGGGACCAGUGCUGGGAAACACCAGACAGGGCCACUGGAGCCAGGACUGGCACUGGGAGCUGUCCCUGUUGGUGACAGGGCCACUGGAGCCAGGACUGGCACUGGGAACUGUCCCUGUUGGUGACAGGGCCACUGGAGCCAGGACAGCCCCACACAGUGCCAGGACAGGGAGCUGGGGCUGUGUCACACCUGCAGGGAGGGAUGCAGAGGCUCCUGCACAGCCUGGAGAGCUGGGACCUGAAAUCCCUGUGCCCUGGGCUGGGGCAGCAGGAAAGGCAUUGGGAUUCUGCCCCUCUGCCCCACUCAGGUGAGGCCUCACCUGCAGAUCUGGCCCAGCACAGGGAGCAGCUGGAGCUGCUGCAGAGAGCCCAGAGAGCUCUGAGCCAGGCUGGGAGAGCUGGGGGUGCUCAGCUGGAAAGGAGAAACUGCAGGGAGGGAGAGCACACAGGGAAUGGCUGCAGAGUAGGGUUUGAUGGGACCUUGGGAAUUAGGAAUUGUUCCCUGGGAGGGGCUGGGAUGGAUUCCCAGAGAGCUGUGGCUGUCCCUGGAUCCCUGGCAGUGCCCAAGGCCAGGCUGGACACCGGGGACAGUGGGAGGUGUCCCCAUGGCUGGGGUGGGAUUAGAUGGGAUUUAAGGGCUCUCCCAGCGCAGACAUUGUGUGUUUCCACGACUCCCCAGAGGGAUGAGGCUGCAGUGCCCCAGCCCCACGGCUCUGUGCAGGCGGGCAGCCCAGGUGAGCCUCACCUGCUCCAGCUCCUGCUCGGCGUACUUCUGGCGGCUGAGCUCGUUCUCGGUGCCCUCGCGCAGCUCGCGCAGCCGGUGCGCCUCCUGCUUGGCCAUGCUGAUCUCGUCCUGCAGCUUCUUCUCCAGGUGCACCUUCUCCACCUCCACCGAGCGGUGCUCCUCCUGCGCCUUCUGCAGCCUGAGGGCACAGGGACAGGCUGGGCUGGGCUGGGGACAGGGCUGGGGACAGGGACAGCUCUGCCCCCCCCCCCCCCCCCCCCCCCCCCCCCCCCCCCCCCCCCCCCCCCCCCCCCCCCCCCCCCCC